UUUCAUUAGGCUACUACUUCACGUUAUUUGGAUGUAUGUGGAUGUGAAUCAUAAACAACGCGCCCGCGAUCGUCUGCGCUCAUUCCUUCUAGAAGAGGGGACCUUUAAACGAGCACUUCCCUUUUUGUUUGGAAGAAUGGAGAGCAUUGGAUCUAGUGCCAGAUGAGUGGUUACUUGUCUCGCCAGGAGAAUGGACAUCUGCUUUCGAAAAAUCAGAGCCAGCCGUAGCCUACCAGGGUUCACUCGGAGACACAUAGGCGCUACCGGAGCAAUGACUAACUUUGCCUCUUAAUGGGGUCGGGACCUCCUCUUUGCUCGGAGCUGUCUGCAAGUCAUUCAAGCAAUUAGGUAAACUCUAGGUUGCUGUCCAUAGAGGACCGGUUGGCUGCUCUGGAGUUGAAAAACUGUGCGGGAGAGACAAACUUUAAGAAGAGAAGACUGGUGCACAAUCCCAAGCUUGCAGAAGCAGUACGCCGUCUUCACAACUCGGAGACAAAUUGCAGGCGCUACGAACCGGAGCAAGGACUAAUCUCGCCUCAUAAUGAGGCGGUGACCUCCUAUUUGCUCGGAACAAUAUCUGCAAGUCCAGAUUUACACGAUGUUGAUAAAGACGACAUUGUGUCCGCCUUUAAGACAUAUUACGAGACGGUACGCAGGAGCUUUAGAUAUUCCCAGCCAGAAAACUCAUUGCGGGCGGAAGCUGCGAAGAGUUCAGCUCGGAGUCGAGCGAGAAGAAAGAGGCUGCUGGAAUCGAGACAGAGUGUGCUAGCAGAUGACGAGGUGGAACUCUGGA